rnacentral:rRNA from 1 species
GAUGAACGCUAGCGGCAGGCUUAACACAUGCAAGUCGAGGGGCAGCACGUCUUCGGAUGGUGACGACCGGCGCACGGGUGCGUAACGCGUAUAGAAUCUACCUUUUACAGGGGAAUAGCCCAGAGAAAUUUGGAUUAAUGCCCCAUAGUAUUAUAGAAUGGCAUCAUUUUAUAAUUAAACAUUUAUGGGUAAAAGAUGACUAUGCGUUCUAUUAGCUAGUAGGUAAGGUAACGGCUUACCUAGGCGACGAUAGAUAGGGGUCCUGAGAGGGGGAUCCCCCACACUGGUACUGAGACACGGCCCAGACUCCUACGGGAGGCAGCAGUGGGGAAUUUUCCGCAAUGGGCGAAAGCCUGACGGAGCAAUACCGCGUGAGGGAGGAAGGNUCUUGGGUUGUAAACCUCUUUUCUCAGGGAAGAAAAAAAUGACGGUA